GCCUCUUUGGCGCAGUGGUAACGCGUAGCACUUGUACACUUAUUUCAAUGCUAAGAUCACAGGUUCGAUUCCUGUAGGAGGCA
rfam:Blumeria graminis f. sp. tritici 96224 unplaced genomic scaffold Scaffold-81, whole genome shotgun sequence.